rnacentral:miRNA from 1 species
AUAAUGGCAAAUAAUUACGGUGGCCUUAAGGUGCAAAACACAACAGCAAAUCAGAAAACACAACACAAAAAGGGAAAACACAAUUGUUAAUGUCGUGUUUUUUUUUAAUUUGCUGUGGUGUUUUCUGAUUUGCUGUUGUGUUUUGCACCUUGGGGCCACCGUACAUAAUUCCCCUUA